rnacentral:tRNA from 1 species
GUGAAUUCAGUUUAAGAGAAAAAACUUUUGACUUGCAUUCAAAAAAUUUAGGUUUAACUCCUAAAAUUUACA